CCGCCGGCGACCGGCGCACGGGUGAGUAACACGUAUGCAACCUGGCCGUGACAGAUGGAUAACCGGGAGAAAUCCCGCCUAAUACAACAUAAUGCCGGGAGGGGACAUCCCCUGACCGGCCAAAGGGGGCGACCCCGGUCACGGAUGGGCAUGCGGCGCAUUAGGUAGUUGGUGGGGCAACGGCCCACCAAGCCGACGAUGCGUAGGGGUUCUGAGAGGAAGGUCCCCCACAUUGGAACUGAGACACGGUCCAAACUCCUACGGGAGGCAGCAG
rnacentral:rRNA from 1 species